UACGGGGGGGGCAAGCGUUGUUCGGAAUUACUGGGCGUAAAGGGCGCGUAGGCGGCCGCUUGCGUCGGAUGUGAAAGCCCGGGGCUCAACCCCGGAACGGCAUCCGAUACGGGGCGGCUCGAGACCGAGAGAGGUGAGUGGAAUACCCAGUGUAGAGGUGAAAUUCGUAGAUAUUGGGUGGAACACCGGUGGCGAAGGCGGCUCACUGGCUCGGUUCUGACGCUGAGGCGCGAAAGCGUGGGGAGCAAACAGGG
rnacentral:rRNA from 1 species